CCUCCAUUAGCCUCAGCCCCUUCCUAUCUGUAAAACGGGAUAAUAAAGUCUGCCUGACACAACUGUUGUUGUGUUGGGGACUGCACAUCAUGAAGACAGCACCCGGCAGAGUAGUGUCUAAUACCUAUUUGCUGGAUGUCUGAAUGAACAAAUCUUCCUGCAAGCUGGAGACAGCAAUUUCUGCUUCACGUCGCAUUAAAUGAGAAAAUGAAUUCCAAACUUGAUGAAAAUUUAGCCAGAACAAUCAACUACUAUAUUUUCUACACACAAAUCAUCCUUCUGGAGACAAAGGGGUCAAAAAUGAGAGAUAAGGGACUAAAAAUAACCUGGAGACGCAGACGGAACCAGCUUCCUUUGUCUCCUUGUUCGCGAGGUGCGCACGGGCAUCACACUCACAUCCUGAAGGCCAGGGCUGAGGUCUUAAACAGGACCCCAAUCAGAUCAGAAGGGUGGACAUGUCUGCAGCCUGGCCACUGGAUUGGGCCAGAUGGAUUUCAGAGGAUGCG